GAGUGGCGGACGGGUGAGUAAUGCUUGGGAAUCUACCCAGUAGCGGGGGACAACCUAGGGAAACUUAGGCUAAUACCGCAUAAGCCACGGGGGAAAGCGGGGGAUCGUAAGGCACUAUUGGAUGAGCCCAAGUCGGAUUAGCUUGUUGGUGGGGUAACGGCCUACCAAGGCUACGAUCCGUAGCUGGUCUGAGAGGACGAUCAGCCACACUGGGACUGAGACACGGCCCAGACUCCUACGGGAGGCAGCAGUGGGGAAUAUUGGACAAUGGGGGCAACCCUGAUCCAGCAAUGCCGCGUGUGUGAAGAAGGCCUGCGGGUUGUAAAGCACUUUCAGUAGGGAAGAAAAGCCUGGGGCUAAUACCCUCGGGUUUUGACGUUACCUAAAGAAGAAGCACCGGCUAACUCCGUGCCAGCAGCCGCGGUAAUACGGAGGGUGCGAGCGUUAAUCGGAAUUACUGGGCGUAAAGCGCACGUAGGUGGUUGGGUAAGUCGGAUGUGAAAGCCCUGGGCUUAACCUGGGAACUGCAUUCGAUACUGCCCGGCUAGAGUAUGGGAGAGGGAGGCGGAAUUUCCGGUGUAGCGGUGAAAUGCGUAGAUAUCGGAAGGAACACCAAUGGCGAAGGCAGCUUCCUGGCCCAAUAC
rnacentral:rRNA from 1 species